GCGGCUGUAGCUCAGUGGAUAGAGUAUUGGCCUCCCAAGCCAAGGGUCGCUGGUCCGAUUCCAGCCAGCCGCACCA
rnacentral:tRNA from 1 species